rnacentral:rRNA from 1 species
CCUACGGGUGGCAGCAGUGAGGAAUAUUGGUCAAUGGUCGGGAGCCUGAACCAGCCAAGCCGCGUGAGGGAGGAAGGUCCAGAGUAUCGUAAACCUCUUUUGUCAGGGAACAAAGACUGGGACGCGUCCCCGGAUGAGUGUACCUGAAGAAAAAGCAUCGGCUAACUCCGUGCCAGCAGCCGCGGUAAUAGGGGGGAUGCGAGCGUUAUCCGGAUUUAGUGGGUUUAAAGGGUGCGCAGGCGGCCUGUUAAGUCAGCGGUAAAAGCCUGGGGUUAAACCCCGGCCCGCAGUUGAAACUGGGAGUCUCGAGUUGGAGAGAGGUAUGCGGAAUGCGCGGUGUAGCGGUGAAAUGCAUAGAUAUCGCGCAGAACACCGAUUGCGAAGGCAGCAUGCCGGCUCCACACUGACGCUGAGGCACGAAAGCGUGGGUAUCGAACAGGAUUAGAUACCCGAGUAGUC